GACGAACGCUGGCGGCGUGCCUAAUACAUGCAAGUUGAGCGCUGAAGGUUGGUACUUGUCCCAACUGGAUGAGCAGCGAACGGGUGAGUAACGCGUGGGGAAUCUGCCUUUGAGCGGGGGACAACAUUUGGAAACGAAUGCUAAUACCGCAUAAAAACUUUAAACACAAGUUUUAAGUUCGAAAGAUGCAAUUGCAUCACUCAAAGAUGAUCCCGCGUUGUAUUAGCUAGUUGGUGAGGUAAAGGCUCACCAAGGCGAUGAUACAUAGCCGACCUGAGAGGGUGAUCGGCCACAUUGGGACUGAGACACGGCCCAAACUCCUACGGGAGGCAGCAGUAGGGAAUCUUCGGCAAUGGACGAAAGUCUGACCGAGCAACGCCGCGGGAGUGAAGAAGGUUUUCGGAUCGUAAAACUCUGUUGGUAGAGAAGAACGUUGGUGAGAGUGGAAAGCUCAUCAAGUGACGGUAACUACCCAGAAAGGGACGGCUAACUACGUG
rnacentral:rRNA from 1 species